rnacentral:rRNA from 1 species
UGCGGAGGGAUCAUUACACAAUACAAUAUGAAGGCCGUACGCGGCUGGAUUAUUUUAUUACCCUUGUCUUUUGCGCACUUGUUGUUUCCUGGGCGGGUUCGCCCGCCACCAGGACCACACCAUAAACCUUUUUUAUGCAGUUGCAAUCAGCGUCAGUACAACAAAUGUAAAUCAUUUACAACUUUCAACAACGGAUCUCUUGGUUCUGGCAUCGAUGAAGAACGCAGCGAAAUGCGAUACGUAGUGUGAAUUGCAGAAUUCAGUGAAUCAUCGAAUCUUUGAACGCACAUUGCGCCCUUUGGUAUUCCAAAGGGCAUGCCUGUUCGAGCGUCAUUUGUACCCUCAAGCUUUGCUUGGUGUUGGGCGUUUUUUGUCUUUGGUUGCCAAAGACUCGCCUUAAAACGAUUGGCAGCCGGCCUCCUGGUUUCGCAGCGCAGCACAUUUUUGCGCUUGCAAUCAGCAACAGAGGGCGGCACUCCAUCAAGACUCCAUUUUCACGUUUGACCUCGGAUCAGGUAGGGAUACCCGCUGAACUUAAGCAUAUCAAA